GCGACUUUGGUGAAAUUGGUAGACACGUCAGACUUAAAAUCUGUUUCUAUGUUAGAGUAUCGGUUCAAGUCCGAUAAGUCGCA
rnacentral:tRNA from 1 species